GAUGAACGCUGGCGGCGUGCUUAACACAUGCAAGUCGAACGAUGAAGCCCAGCUUGCUGGGUGGAUUAGUGGCGAACGGGUGAGUAACACGUGAGUAACCUGCCCUUAACUCUGGGAUAAGCCUGGGAAACUGGGUCUAAUACCGGAUAGGAGCGUCCACCGCAUGGUGGGUGUUGGAAAGAUUUAUCGGUUUUGGAUGGACUCGCGGCCUAUCAGCUUGUUGGUGAGGUAAUGGCUCACCAAGGCGACGACGGGUAGCCCGCCUGAGAGGGUGACCGGCCACACUGGGACUGAGACACGGCCCAGACUCCUACGGGAGGCAGCAGUGGGGAAUAUUGCACAAUGGGCGCAAGCCUGAUGCAGCGACGCCGCGUGAGGGAUGACGGCCUUCGGGUUGUAAACCUCUUUCAGUAGGGAAGAAGCGAAAGUGACGGUACCUGCAGAAGAAGCACCGGCUAACUACGUG
rnacentral:rRNA from 1 species